rnacentral:lncRNA from 1 species
GGAAAAUAAUGGGAUGAGUUGCGUUGCUCAGAUGCUUUUGAGCAACACACUAAUUUGUUUCCCCAGAGCCUGCUGCACCUUCCGUGAGCAUUCAGGAGACAGGGAGGAACAUCACUCUGGUGGGGACGCGGCUGUGCUGGUCAGACGCCCUGCUCUACUGCAGAGACUCUCACUGGGACCUGCUGAGCCUCAGGGGCCCAGAAGACCAGGAGAUGGUUGAUGAGAUGGUUGAUGAGCUGGUGGCUCGCGCCCCCUUCCCACUAACCAGCCACCUCUGGGUGGGCCUGCGCAGGUCCCUUUCAGGAAGCACCUGGUUUUGGAUGUCCGCUGACCCGAUGGACUUCAGCCAAUGGGACGAAGGCUCAUACCAUUCCUCCCCCUGUGGGGGCGUGUCCAGCGUGGAACCUUCCACAUGGAGGCAGCGCUCCUGUGAAGAACAUCUUAACUUCAUCUGUUUCACAGGUCAGACAGAAGGAGUGAACAAGUUGCACUUUUAUAGUUCCACAAGAGAGAAUCAAGCUCGCUGCACCUUACUUGGCCGCCCUGGGGAAUAAAGCGGCAGAUUCUGAAGACGUCCUGAGGAUUGAAGGUUCUAAAUGAAGUAGCUCAGAGUGUCUGUUUUGUCUGCUAGCUGGUUCUGCAUUUUGUCAUUAUGGGCUUCAUGAAAGGCCACAUUUAUUCCCAGCAUAGCAUAAAGGAUAUAUUUACUUUGGUAUAUAAUCAAUAAACGUAUUUAUUAGCAGAUGUAGGUGCAUCAUUCCUUUGUUAAGAAAUGUGGAGAAUGUGAGUUCAAGAUGGUAUCAAAAGACUAGAUGAAGUAUCUGUUGGCUUUAUCUCUGUCUGGCUUGACUGAUGUGAUGUGUUUUAAUAAUGUUAACGCUUUAACCAGUAGUGAAUGUGCUGGUUUGUCUUUCUUUUGCAUAUGAAUGGAACGUAGAUAAUGUUCUUCAAUAAAAGUCUUCGCCGUUGUCCACAAAUUCCUUGCGGGUACUGUGUUUGUUUUUAUCCCCCUGUCGCACGGAAGUGACGAUUCUGUCGACCAAUCAACGAACGGCGCGUGUAUCUUGAAGGCGUUGGCACCCUUUCAGACGUCUCUGUACCCCAACGGAGGAGUACUGCGAGAUGAGGACGGCUCAUCAUGGCUCAGUCUGGACCCCGCCCACUUUAGUUAUUUUCACACCUUUGCACAUCGAACCAACCCGCACCCGCUGGGGGUAACGCGCCAUAAUAUUUAUGUAUAUAUUUUCAUUUGGGGGAGGGCGUCUUCAAACAGUGA